rnacentral:rRNA from 1 species
AUGCUAGCAAGAUGGGCAGCAUAUCUUGAGAGGUUUAACUAUCUCAUCGUGCAUAAAUCUGGAAUAACUAACAGAGUGGCCGAUGCUUUGAGUCGUCGUGCAUGCCUCUUGACUUCUUUUGAAGCUGAACUUCCGGGCAUGGGUCAAAUAAAGGAGUUGUAUGAGGGUGACGAAGACUUUGGCCAUGUUUGGGUAAAGCACGCAAGGGGCCGACCAUUAGGUGAUGACUAUUUGAUGCAAGAUGGAUAUCUCUUCAAAAAUGAUCGUUUGUGCAUUCCAAGAAGUUCUCUACGUGACAAGCUGGUUAGAGAGCUCCAUUCAAGUGAUCUUAGUGGCCAUGUUGGACGGGACAAGACUAUCGCUAACCUGGAAGCUCGCUACUUUUGGCCACAACUAAAGAGAGAUGCUGGAAAGUUCAUUCAACGGUGCCCCGUAUGUCAGACCUGCAAAGGCCAAGUCCAGAACACAGGGUUAUACAUGCCUUUGCCUGUUCCUGUUGCUCCAUGGGAGGACAUUUCUAUGGACUUCGUCUUGGGCUUGCCAAGAACAAGACGAGGAAGUGAUGUUGUAUUUGUGGUCGUGGAUAGAUUCUCUAAGAUGGCUCAUUUCAUCCUAUGCCGCAAGACAACGGAUGCUCAUCAUGUGGCAAACCUAUUCUUUCGAGAAGUGGUCAGACUUCAUGGAGUUCCAAGGUCCAUUGUCUCAGACCGUGAUAGCAAGUUUCUUGCUGCAUUUUGGCUCACUUUGUGGAAGCAAUUCAACACUGAAUUGAAAUUUUCUAGCACUGCUCAUCCACAAACAGAUGGACAAACGGAAGUGGUGAACAAGUUUUUGGGUAAUCUGAUCCGUUGCAUUUGUGGAGAAAGAAAGGGGCAAUGGGAUUUGGCUUUAUCUCUUGCAGAGUUCUCCUACAAUAACUCCAAGCAUAGAUCCACAGGAAGGAGCCCUUUUUCCAUUGUCUACACUAAAGUUCCAACACAUGUGGUGGACCUGGUGAAGCUGCCAUCAAGGGGAAACUCAAAAUCAGCAUUGUCCUUUGCUGAUAAUUACACCGAGUUAUUUGAAGAGAUUUGCGGCGCUUUGGAAGCACAAAAUUAG